rnacentral:rRNA from 1 species
CAGUCGCCGCGGGAAUACGGAGGGUGCGAGCGUUGUCCGGAUUUAUUGGGUUUAAAGGGUGCGUAGGUGGCCUUAUAAGUCAGUGGUGAAAUACGGUUGCUCAACAAUCGAGGUGCCAUUGAUACUGUAGAGCUUGAAAUAAUUGGAGGCUGCCGGAAUGGAUGGUGUAGCGGUGAAAUGCAUAGAUAUCAUCCAGAACACCGAUUGCGAAGGCAGGUGGCUACGAUUUGUUUGACACUGAGGCACGAAAGCAUGGGGAGCAAACAGGAUUAGAUACCCCCGUAGUCCCUGUCUCUUAUAA